rnacentral:rRNA from 1 species
AUGCAAUGCAGGUACAUUUUAGAAGCAAGAGAGUUGCCAAUCCUCUCUAUGAUAGACAGGAUUAAGGCACAACUAACUACUAGGAUGGUUACAAAAAAUGAAGAGAUGUUGAGCUGGACAUCUCCAAUUUGCCCAAAGAUUAAGAAAAGACUAGACAAGAACACAGAAUUAGCUAACACAUGUUAUGCUGAAUUAGCUGGAGAUGGCAUAUAUUCUAUGGAGGACAGAGGGUACACAUACAUUGUUGAGAUAAAUGUGGAGAGCUGCAGCUGUAGAAGGUGGAAUUUGACAGGAAUACCAUGCCCUCACUCAAUAGCAUGCUGCAGAAGAGAAAGAAAAUCACCAAUUGAGCUAGUGCACAAGUGUUACUCCAUUGAAUCUUACCACAAGGCAUACUCUCAUCUUAUUGUGCCUUGCAGAGAUAGAAGAGAGCGGACAAAGAUGAAUGGAUGUCCUAUUGCACCACCUCUUUAUGUGAAGAAGGUUGGAAAUCCUGGUCAUAAUAGGAGGAGGGCUCCUGAAGAAGUUGCAGAUGGGAGAGGUGGAACCAGAAUGACAAGGCAUGGUGUAGUUAUCCACUGUGGGCACUACAAACUACCUGGACACAAUAGGAGUUCAUGUUCUGAUCUUAAAGCUGGCAUACCCCCAUAUGUUCCUGCCCCAAAGCAACAUGUCAGGAGAAGGAGAAGGGCAGAACCAACUACUGAAGAAGAUCAAGAGGCAGAACCAAAUGUUCAAGAACAGCAAGAGGAAGCACCAAAUGUUCAAGAUCAGCAAGAGGCACAACAUACACAGGAUGAGCAUGUCAUAACUCAGGAUAUCAAUGACCAAAUUCCUCUAUCUAUUGUGUAUACUCAUGAUAUGCUCAAUGAAAUGAUUUUCCAGAGACCUAUGCCAAAGACAACUACUACUCCUAGGCCUUUGCCAGACUGUUCUUUUAUUACUGCUGCUAGAGAAGCCCUUGGCACAGGGACAACAAGCACCUCAACAACAGCAGGAUACCUUGCUACGAAGGCUGCAGCUAUGAGAAUUGCAAAAGAAAAGGUCUUUGCUGCACAGAGAGAUGCAACACAAGAGCAAAGGUAUGAGUCCCAUGAGAAGCAAGCUGCUGAUGUGCUUGCUAGAAGAGAAGCAGAGAAGGCAAAGAAAGAAGAAGAGAAGGCAAAGAAGAAAGCAGAAGCGCUAGCAAAGAAAGAAGAAGAGAAGGCAAAGAAGAGAGCAGAAGCACUAGCAAAGAGAGAAGAAGAGAAGGCAAAGAAAGCACAGAAAAUGGCAGCAGAGAUAGAAGAAAAGAAGAAAGUUGCAAUUGCCAGGAGAGAAGCUCAUCUACAAGCAAAGCUUAGGGAAGCAGAGGAGAAGAAGGCUGCUGCACAAGCAAAGAGGGGUGCUUCUACUAUUGUCCAACAGAGCAAAAAAACACAAGGUCAACAUGUUUGA